rnacentral:rRNA from 1 species
CAAUAGCGUAUAUUAAAGUUGUUGCAGUUAAAAAGCUCGUAGUUGGAUUUCUGCUGAGGACGAUCGGUCCGCCCACUGGGUGAGUAUCUGGCUCGGCCUUGGCAUCUUCUUGGAGAACGUUGCUGCACUUGACUGUGUGGCGCGGUAUCCAGGACUUUUACUUUGAGGAAAUUAGAGUGUUUCAAGCAGGCGCACGCCUUGAAUACAUUAGCAUGGAAUAAUGAGAUAGGACCUUGGUUCUAUUUUGUUGGUUUCUAGAGCUGAGGUAAUGAUUAAUAGGGAUAGUUGGGGGCAUUCGUAUUUAACUGUCAGAGGUGGAAUUCUUGGAUUUGUUAAAGACGGACUACUGCGAAAGCAUUUGCCAAGGAUGUUUUCAUUGA